CAAAGCUUCAUGUCCUGGCUGGGGACAAAAGACAAAGACUCUGUGGCCUGUGGCAGGGAAGAAGGGUCCCCACCAGCACAAACACCACACCCUGUCUGACCCUCCUCCCUGUGCGGGCACCCUGUACUCCUGCCUAUAGGUGCGAGCUCAGGGUAAUCGAUACCAGCAGAACCAGGUGGGACCAACUAAGAGGCAAGAGGAUAAACAGGAUCACUCUGGAACACUGUUCUUCAUUCCUGUAACCACCAUGGACAAAAGGCCCCGAGAGGAGGAGGGGCCGGGGCCCAGGGAAGUGGCAAAGAGGGUGAAGUCCCAGAGGAGAACAGUGGCCUCUAUCGUGGCAGAAGCAUCCCGAGCAUCCAGGCCAGUCGGGAGCCAGGCUGGCCUCACACGCAGCCUCAAGGCAGCUCUUGCUGCCGAGAGACCAAAACAACUAAGAUCAAGGAUGGCAUGGUGAACUGCAGUUCACACGCCACUAAGAAUGCUACGAGACAAGUGGGCAAACUAUGGUAACCUGGCAGCAACAGGGAACCGUGCCUGG